rnacentral:rRNA from 1 species
UACGUAGGCAGCAAGCGUUGUUCGGAGUUACUGGGCGUAAAGAGUGCGUAGGCGGUUUCGUAAGUUUGGUGUGAAAUCUCCCGGCUUAACUGGGAGGGUGCGCCGAAAACUGCGGGGCUGGAGUGUGGGAGAGGCAAGCGGAAUUCCUGGUGUAGCGGUGAAAUGCGUAGAUAUCAGGAGGAACACCGGUGGUGUAGACGGCUUGCUGGACCAUGACUGACGCUGAGGCACGAAAGCGUGGGGAGCAAACAGG